rnacentral:miRNA from 1 species
UAGCAAAAACCACAGUUACUUU